UGGAGACGAGGGAAGAGAUGGGCAGGGUGAGGUGCUCUCACGGGUGCUCACCUCCUCUCUCAGAGUUUUUAUUUCUGUAAGCAAAAUAUUCACGUGUUAAACUUUCUCGGUGGACACUCGGGGAUACUUUAUACGAUUUGCUGUUCCUUGGGUUCAACAUUUUUCAUUCUUAGCUUUUGGUUUUUUAAGAAAAGGGGGAACGAUCUUGAAUAGGAAGUUCUGAGUGAAGCCUGGCUUUCUCUACUUUCCCUUCAUUGUGAAGUCUGACAGAAAAGAAUAUUUUCUGAUCUCUGACGGAGGCCGGGAAACUUCUGCCGGGAGAAUGUACCAAAGCACACGGACCUAAGGAGACAUCAGGGGUCAGAGCCAAGUCUCAUUUCUCUGAAACUUUACCAACAGUCCUAAACUUCAAUAUAGAGGUUUCAGCUUCAAAACCAAAAAAAAAAAAAAAAAAAAGAUUCAGCUCAAAAAUACCUAGAUCCCGAAGACAAAGAAUCAAUGUCCGAGGAUCUCUAAUAAAGUCACUUCUGCUGAUAGGGGCUGGGGAUUUCAGGUUUACGGAUCUGGUGGAGGCAGACAUUCUAUUUUCACUUGUGUGUGAAAGACCUCUAAAGAGCCUGAGUCGACAACGUGUGAGGUGAACUUAAUGCGGGGCCCUCCUCCACUCCUUCUCCCUGUCCCUCCUGCCUUCUUACCUCCCUUUUUGUUUUGAAAUAACCAUAAACAUAUACAAUUUCAAGUGAAGAAAAGAGACUUUUCCCUGAACCAGGGGACAGUGGUGGCCCACCUGACGCCCUCCCCAGCCCACGUCCUGGGCAGCUCUCACAAACACGCAGCCACCCAGACUGGGAAGGUUCCCAGCCCCACCCCAGCUUUGCC
rnacentral:lncRNA from 1 species